GCAGAUUGUCCUGAGCCCCAAGUGUCUGUGAUUCUCUUAGCUAAGUAAGGAAUCAGUGCCAGAGACAGAGGUUGCUGGAGCUGAGAGGAGACGUAGUCAAGAAGAUUGGAGAAGGCUCUGCGGAGAAGGUGAACUUGAGCUAAGACUUGAAGGGAGGGCAGGCUUGAAGGGAUGAAACAGCCUCCUCUGUGCUAAAGAGAGGAGUGACAGGGCCAUCAUCAGGCAAAGGGGACAUUACCAGGCAAAGGGACACCAUUGGUCAAAGGCGAUGGUGGAGACAAGACAUUCUGGAAGAGCCCGGAUCAGAGAGAUUUGGGGCCAGGAGCCGGCAUCAGGGGACCGGCUCCCUAAGGAACCAUGGCACCACUGGCUCUCAGCUGGAAAUAAGCAGCAGAUGAAGCACAUGCAUCCUGAGUUUUGGCUCUGGUGAUGGUGGUGGAGCUGUUAAUUCUUGGAGUCCAAAUUCCUGCACCACCUCUGAGUUCCGAGGGGGUGGGGAAGAGCAAGUGAUGGCUGGACAGCAAAGAGGAGUGGAGGCCGGGAGAAUGGGCAGCUAGCCCAGCGCUCUCCAAUAUCUGGGAGUCGACCGCACUCCUGCACUCCCUGUCAUCCCUGCUAAUGAUGAGGAAACUCAGGCAUGGAGAGGUUGAGCGACUUGCCCAAAUUCAUGCAGUUAGGACCUGGCAGAGCUGCGCUUUGAACCCAGGCUGCCUGGCUCUAGAGUGUGUGCACGAAACUUCACUGCCAUAUGAACAAAACUGCAGGACAUAUGUUCUCAAAGCAAAUAAGCCUCCCAGAGAGGCUUUUCCUGAUGGCUUCAAGGACCUGCCCUAGCCUGGUCUGACUUCCCAGAGGGGAUCCAGUCCCAACAUUGGCCCUAUCUUUAGACCACAUUUCCAUCCCAUUCUCAGUGAAAACCCUGAGUCAUGACAGAAGACAACCAAUGCUGGAGAGAGGAGGUUUCAGGUAAUGCCUGUUUUAGGCAUCCUCUCCUUUAAGAAAAAUUUUUAUAUCAAGGCACCUCAACAUAAUAAUACCUUUAUUGCAUAUAGGUAGAAUAUAAAACUGACUUGUAAGACCACUCUGUGUGUGUGUGUG
rnacentral:lncRNA from 1 species